rnacentral:rRNA from 1 species
CGUGCUUAACACAUGCAAGUCGAGCGGUAAGGCCCUUCGGGGUACACGAGCGGCGAACGGGUGAGUAACACGUGGGUGAUCUACCCUGUACUUCGGGAUAAGCCUGGGAAACUGGGUCUAAUACCGGAUAUGACCUUCCGAUGCAUGUCGGUGGGUGGAAAGAUUUAUCGGUACAGGAUGGGCCCGCGGCCUAUCAGCUUGUUGGUGGGGUAAUGGCCUACCAAGGCGACGACGGGUAGCCGGCCUGAGAGGGCGACCGGCCACACUGGGACUGAGACACGGCCCAGACUCCUACGGGAGGCAGCAGUGGGGAAUAUUGCACAAUGGGCGAAAGCCUGAUGCAGCGACGCCGCGUGAGGGAUGACGGCCUUCGGGUUGUAAACCUCUUUCGACAGGGACGAAGCGCAAGUGACGGUACCUGUAGAAGAAGCACCGGCCAACUACGUGCCAGCAGCCGCGGUAAUACGUAGGGUGCGAGCGUUGUCCGGAAUUACUGGGCGUAAAGAGCUUGUAGGCGGUUUGUCGCGUCGUCCGUGAAAACUUGGGGCUCAACCCCAAGCUUGCGGGCGAUACGGGCAGACUUGAGUACUGCAGGGGAGACUGGAAUUCCUGGUGUAGCGGUGAAAUGCGCAGAUAUCAGGAGGAACACCGGUGGCGAAGGCGGGUCUCUGGGCAGUAACUGACGCUGAGAAGCGAAAGCGUGGGUAGCGAACAGGAUUAGAUACCCU